UAGGGAAUCUUCGGCAAUGGACGAAAGUCUGACCGAGCAACGCCGCGUGAGUGAAGAAGGUUUUCGGAUCGUAAAACUCUGUUGUUAGAGAAGAACAAGGACGUUAGUAACUGAACGUCCCCUGACGGUAUCUAACCAGAAAGCCACGGCUCACUACGUGCCAGCAGCCGCGGUAAUACGUAGGUGGCAAGCGUUGUCCGGAUUUAUUGGGCGUAAAGCGAGCGCAGGCGGUUUCUUAAGUCUGAUGUGAAAGCCCCCGGCUCAACCGGGGAGGGUCAAUGGAAACUGGGAGACUUGAGUGCAGAAGAGGAGAGUGGAAUUCCAUGUGUAGCGGUGAAAUGCGUAGAUAUAUGGAGGAACACCAGUGGCGAAGGCGGCUCUCUGGUCUGUAACUGACGCUGAGGCUCGAAAGCGUGGGGAGCAAACAGG
rnacentral:rRNA from 1 species